rnacentral:rRNA from 1 species
CAUUAAAUCAGUUAUGGUUCCUUAGAUCGUUCAUAUUACAUGGAUAACUGUGGUAAUUCUAGAGCUAAUACAUGCAAAAAGCUCCGACCGUAUGGGAAGAGCGCUUUUAUUAGACCAAAACCAAUGGGGUCGCAAGAUCCCUUUGUAUGGUGACUCUGGAUAACUUUGUGCUGAUCGCAUGGCCUCGAGCCGGCGACGUAUCUUUCAAAUGUCUGCCCUAUCAACUUUCGAUGGUAAGCGAUUUGCCUACCAUGGUUGUAACGGGUAACGGGGAAUCAGGGUUCGAUUCCGGAGAGGGAGCAUGAGAAAUGGCUACCACAUCUACGGAAGGCAGCAGGCGCGCAAAUUACCCACUCCUAGAACGGGGAGGUAGUGACGAAAAAUAACAAUACCGGACUCUAUGAGGCUCGGUAAUUGAAAUGAGUACAGUUUAAAACCCUUAACGAGGAUCUAUU